UACGGGGGGGGCAAGCGUUGUUCGGAUUCAUUGGGCGUAAAGGGUGCGUAGGCGGCGCGGUAAGUCGGGUGUGAAAUCUUGGAGCUUAACUCCGAAACUGCAUUCGAUACUGCCGUGCUUGAGGACUGGAGAGGAGACUGGAAUUUACGGUGUAGCGGUGAAAUGCGUAGAUAUCGUGAGGAAGACCAGUGGCGAAGGCGGAUCUCUGGACAGUUCCUGACGCUGAGGCGCGAAGGCCAGGGGAGCAAACGGG
rnacentral:rRNA from 1 species